UAUGGUGUUUGGUUUGGUUCUGAGUGUUAGUCAUGGAUACACAUUUCAUCAAGCUGAGCUUCCUUGGUGGUAAAGAACUUGAUAAUGGUGGGCCUGCAGCAAGCCAAGGAUAAUCCUAGCCCCCAAGUCCUGAGCCAGAUGCUUAUCGAGCAACCAUUUGGGAGUUGAUGAAAGUUGGAUCCUGAUGGGAUUGUGGACAUGAAGAAUAGUUGGUGAUUGUGUUUGCAGCCUGUGUUGUUGAGGACAAGGAUAAACUAUACUACUACAUGUCAAAGUGUUGUACAAAGAUGAAUGGAAUAGUAAAAUACAAAAAAAUAGAACUCACAAAUAAUAGGUUUAUAUCGAGGCUAAAGUUUGAUUCUAUGCCUCUUAAAUACUUAGAAUAUAAAGAUGAUUGUCUUAUAGAAUAUUGAAGAUUGUGAAAAUUUUUAUGAAUAAAUAAAUUUUUAUUUCUCCAUUUGUUGGAUGUAGGAGGAGAUUUGGUAGAGGUGGAAGACUUGCCUUUGAAGUAGCUUGAAGGACUUUUUAUAGUUUAUUAGCCUCACGGGUCUUGUGUCAUCUUAUGGUAGAUAUUUUUAACGGUUAACCAUCAUUUUGUAGUCACUUUCUUAAGAAGUUUUCAACUUGGAGUCAAAUUUAGGCCAAUUAGUCAAAGAUUAGGUUAGAUUGGGUUAUUGAGUAUGCCUAUUGGAAGCGAUUUUUCCUUCUUGAUUUAUCGUGUGAUACAAUGGGCUGGUUUGCCUGUUUAUAUUAGGGUGCAGGUUGACUUUGGUAGUCAAUUUUGGUGGCGAUUACGGUGUUUUAACUAGAUUCCAAAUUGUGAAUCACGAGUCUUGUUAAUAUGAACAUUCUAGUUAUUAGGUGGGGGUUUAGGGAGGUAUCCCUUUGUGCUUGGUACCUAAGGUCGUCUCUUUUCGAGAUAUAGGGUUAGAAUAGGCCGCUUCCUUUCAAAGGUAUUUGGUUGGUUGGUACCUAUUUAUGGUACUACCACUUUGAGGUGGUGACAUGGUUUGGUGACUCGGAGGCAGUAUUUUAGAUUGGUCAAUAUUUUUAGAUACAAUGUUCAAUUUCUUGUUUAUAAUAGUAUAUCAUAUAAAAAGAAAUGGUGAGUUACUUGUUGAUUUAUAUCCUCUUAAAUAAUCGAUGGAAUGAAUGUUUGACUAGACUUAAAUAUUAGAAAGAAUUUGAUUUAACUCGAGAUAUGAGUAACUAAAUGAAAAACAAGAGACAUCGUAUUGAAUAAGUAAAAGAUAUUGUCAAGUUUCUUAUCUAUAGUUGAAGGUGAUGAUUAUUGGAGGGGUUGUGUCUUUGAAAUAACAAUAUUUAUCGAAGGUUAAUACAAAACAUGUCUGUUAGAAGGGUUGCGUCUUUGAGGUAAAAUAUUUGGACAUAUCUUUUAGGAAGAACAUGUUUUCUUCAAAAAAAUAUUACUAAGUAAAUAAUUGAAUUAUUUUAUUAAAAUCAUUUUUUUAAAAUGUGAAUUUUUUUUAAUAUAAAAAAUUGAAUCAAACUAGUUUGAUAAAAAUGAAGAGAACAUUCAUAUAUUUAUAAAUAUCAAAAUAAAAAUAUAAAAGCAUUUUAAAACUAUAAUAGAGAUAAAUAUAAAAUAUAAAUUUUUGAAAAUUUUAUUUUGAAAAAGUGAGAUUUGGGAGUCUAGUGGAACUUCUUUAACUCAAAGCGAAUGAGAAUGUAUCCAUUUCAUUAAUUUAUACAUUUAAUAUUUUUUUAUUACAUUUCUUAUUUAUGCAUUUUUUAUAAUAAAAUUAAAAUAGAAAAUAGAAAAUAAAUCAACAUUUAUACUAAUUGUAAACACAAUAGAAAAUGUUGCAAAAUGUAAAAGGGGUAGUGUAUGAAAAAAAUUAAAAUAAAAUAAAAGUGAUUGGACAGGACAAAAACGUAAUAAACAGUCGAUAUAUUCUCCUUCCACCAUCCAACCACUUGGGAGAGUGUGGAGACGGCACAUUAUGACUCAGUGCCCUCAAUUUCAAUUAUUUACCAAGGAUCCUUUUUCUCCGAUUAUCCUCUUCAUCGGGUCCUCUGCAUCUCCUAUUUCGCAAGCACAGGGCCAGAAGCAAUCCGAGGAUGGCUCAACCAGGUUCGACCCAUGAUGCACAAAGCCCAGUGAUUCAGCAGCAGAACGUGAUAAUACCAAACAAUCAUGGUGAAAAACUUGUGGGCACAUUACAUGAAACUGGAUCUCCAGAAAUUGUAAUUUUGUGCCAUGGUUUCCGGUCCUCAAAGGAAUACACCAUCAUGGUGAACCUUGCUGUUGCUUUGGAAAAUGAGGGGAUUAGUGCCUUCCGCUUUGAUUUUGCUGGAAAUGGGGAAAGUGAAGGUUCAUUUCAGAUUGGUGGCUAUUGGAGAGAGGCCGAUGAUUUACAUGCUGUAAUCCAACAUUUCCGGGGUGCAAAGCGUGUAAUACAUGCAAUUCUGGGGCAUAGUAAAGGAGGCGAUGUGGUCCUGUUGUAUGCUUCGAAGUAUCAUGAUGUACAUAUGGUUCUCAAUGUUUCUGGCCGUUAUAAUCUGAAGAGAGGCACUGACGAGUACUUUGGUAAAGACUUUUUCGAAAGAAUCAAGAAGGAUGGAUUUUUUUAUGUUAAAGAUAAAACAGGAAGUUUUCGUGUGACUGAGGAGGGUUUGAUGGAUCGCCUAAGUACAGACAUGCAUGAAGCAUGCCUUAAGAUUGAAAAAGACUGCAGGGUUUUGACAAUCCAUGGAUCUGCUGAUGAAAUCAUCCCUGUUGAAGAUGCUGUGGAGUUCGCCAAGAUUAUACCUAACCACAAAUUACACAUUAUAGAAGGAGCUAAUCAUGGAUACACUUCACAUCAAGCUGAGUUGGCUUUGGUAGCUCUGAACUUCAUAAGGACAGGCCUGCAAGAAGGCAAGGAUAAACCCUAGCCAGGUGGCUGAAGGACCCUGCUCAUGAUACUGCUUGGCAUAAGCGCUUGACCAUUUUGGGUGUUAUUAUAUCAGGAUCCUCAUGAGAUGGACAUGAAUAAAUAGUUUGCUAAUUGGGUUUUAUUGCUCAUAUUGUUGGCAUGAGUCUAAUUUGUUGGAUGAAAUCGUUGAGAAAACAGUCUCCUUUGCUUGCACCUUUCCCUUCCAAGAAAGUAAAUGCCUAUUUCAAUGUGGAAGAGAGAACCCACAUGAUUUCCAGCAGCACAAAUCAGAAUGUAACACCAUUCUUAGAAUCCUAUUCAACCAGUAAAGCUUUUUCUUGACAGACAACUUUGACAUAAAGCAUGGCUAGUAAUUUGGGGGCUUCUGGACUUUUGAUUGGUCAUUUUAACUACAUUUGAUAGUGCUUCAAAUUUGGAUAAAACGAUUGAACUCAAUUUCAAAUUAAAUUCCCCACAGAUGUGAGAAAGGAAAAUGAAGUUUCUAGUACUGUGUUUUGUGAUGUUUUGUUCUUCAAAGAACAAAAAAAAUGAAAAAAAGAGCAUAGAUUCACCUAACUUAAUAAGCCAAAUAGUUGUAUUAGACAGAGUCAAGAAAGGGGGUUUUGUUUCCUUUGAUACCAAGUCAAGAGUAAUCAACGGGUGGUUGGGGGUUGAUUUCCAUCGUUUGCAAUCCUUACCCUUUUACAGGAACCAACUGGAGCAUUUGGUAAUUCAUGACUUCUUGUGUUUGUUCAUUGAAAUAUAAGAGAUUAGGUAGAUGGAAGUCUAGGGUGAUUUUGAAUGUGUUAGUUUACCUAGUAAAAGAGGAGAGUUGGUUUUGUUUGUUGAAUUUUGGGUCGUUGGUGGACUCCUAUUUACUUGGGUGUUGGAGAAAAGAAUUUUGAUUUAAACAAAUCAUUGUGUGUCAAUGUUAUCUAACUUGGUCUUGGCCCUUGAAAGCUUAAAAUAUUCCCUUGGACCUUUUCUAUUCCUCCUUUAAAGGGUUUGUAAAGGUUCAACAAUACAAGACUUUGAUGACUAAAAAGCUUCUGGAUUUGCUUAAGUCAGUAGCUAUGCCAUCAUGUUACAUAACCUAAGCUGAUUGUGAAUUUCUGUAUAUUUUAUUUGGCUUGAGUUUGGACACUGGGCUAAACAUUGAACACUGACACAUGAAUUACCCUGUUUCAGUGAUUCUGAAGAAGAAAGUUAGGGAUGGGUUUUGAUGCCAUGGAUUUUGAUGCACAAAGAUGUUGUUGGCCGUAUACUAACACUUUACUUUUUAUGCAUUUUUUAAUAAAAUUUUUGAAAGUAAAUAAAGUUAAAUAUAAAAAAUAAAUAAAUGAGCAUUUAUAGUUAUUAUGAACAUAAUAAAAAUUUUUAAUAGUAAUAUUAAUUUUUUCUUAUUCAUCUUUAAAUAUAACAUAAUUAUAUAGCCCUAGCAAAAGAAUAUAUGAUGCAAAAAAGAAAAAAAAAAAAGAAAAAAAAGAAGAAGCUCCCUUUUACAAAUUAUGUAGUGAGACAAAACGUAAUAAACCUUAAGUAAAUUCUUGUUCCAGCUUUCGAAUCACUUGGGAGAGUGUGGACUGUGGAGAGUCGAGACAGCCCAUGGAACAACCCGUCAGUAAUUAUCAUUCAGUUCUCUCAACCUCAUUUAUUUGCGAAAGAAGCCCAGUGCCCACUUUCCCUCUCCAUCGGGUCCGCUUCAUCUCCUCUCGCAAGCACAGGGCCAGUAGCAGUCUGAGGAUGGCUCAACCAGGUUCGAACCAUGAUGCACAAAACCCAGAUGAUUGCAAAUGUGGGAGAUUCAGAUAAAAAAAAUGAAAAUGGAUGAGAUUAAUGAACACCCUUUUGGUUGUUGAUUCAGCAGAAGAAAGUGAUAAUAACAAACAAUCAUGGUGAAAAACUCAUGGGCUCAUUACAUGAAACUGGAUCUGCAGAAAUUGUAAUUUUGUGCCAUGGUUUUCGGUCCACAAAGG